rnacentral:rRNA from 1 species
UACGUAGGGUGCAAGCGUUGUCCGGAAUUAUUGGGCGUAAAGAGCUCGUAGGCGGUCUGUCGCGUCGGCUGUGAAAACCUGGGGCUUAACUCCGGGCCUGCAGCCGAUACGGGCAGACUAGAGUUCGGCAGGGGAGACUGGAAUUCCUGGUUUAGCGGUGAAAUGCGCAGAUAUCAGGAGGAACACCGGUGGCGAAGGCGGGUCUCUGGGCCGAAACUGACGCUGAGGAGCGAAAGCGUGGGGAGCAAACAGG